rnacentral:rRNA from 1 species
UCGAGGAUCAUUUGCAAUGGGCGCAAGCCUGACAAUGCGACGCUGCGUGGAGGAUGACGGCCUUCGGGUUGUAAACUCCUGUCGUCCGGGAACAAUAUCGGGAGGGUUAAUAACCCUGACGGUUGAUGGUACCGGAAAAGGAAGCCACGGCUAACUAAGUGCCAGCAGCCGGGGUAAUACGUAGGUGGCGAGCGUUAUCCGGAAUUAUUGGGCGUAAAGAGUACGUAGGUUGUCUUUUAAGCGUUGGGUUUAAGGCAAUGGCUUAACCAUUGUUCGCCUUGUGAACUGGAAGACUUGAUUGUAGGAGAGGAAAGUGGAAUUCCCGGUGUAGUGGUGAAAUUCGUAGAUAUCGGGAGGAAUUCCGGUGGCGAAGGCGACUUUCUGGCUGAAUACUGACGCUGAGGCGCGAAAGCGUGGGGAGCAAACA